ACAACAGCGUGGAAGAAGGCACUUUAAACUCAGACUGUCUUCAGCCAUCAGUGACUGACUUCCUGGAUAUAAUCACUGAUUCAGACAAUGGAGCAAAAUACAUAUUAGAGCAGGAGCCAGCAGGAAAAGGAGGAUUGAUAUUUGGUCCUGCUGACAACUCGGAAACUCAGUCUGGCACUUCUGAAUCAGGAAAUUCAGCAUGUGCUGGAAGGAUAAUGCUGAAUGACUCUGAUCCUUUGCUGCCCUCCUCUGGCUCUCCUUUUCAUUCAGCUCUGCAGGGAGAAACCAUUCGAACCUUUAAUGCUGUGUCAGUGUUUCAGGGUGAGGACAGUGGUGUCCGUACUAUGGAACAAGCUGUAAGUUCACAGCCAGUACCAUUAGAAUCUGAGUCUAAUACUGACAACAUGGAAAAUAGUUCUCCUGCAUCAGCCUUGGAUGAUAAAGGUGAGCAAAGCAAUGAGGAGGAGCAAAAAACUAUCAAGCCUACAAGUAAAGAGUUCAGGAAAACCUGGGGGUUUCGAAGGACUACAAUUGCUAAGCGAGAAAGUGCAGGAGAUACUGAUGUGGACUGUAGUGAACAACAGCCACAACAGCAGCAACAAAGCUUAAACCUCAGGCGUAGUGGUCGGCAACCAAAGCGAACAGAAAGAGUGGAAGAAUUUCUUACAACAGUAAGACGCAGAGGAAGGAGGAGUGUUCCUACUACUCUGGAAGAUUCAAGUGAACCAGCAUCCUGUCCAGCUACAGAUGCUGAAACUGCUUCAGAAGAUAGUGUUGAGAGCACUCCCGAUAUAAAACCUGUGACUCGGAGGAUUAACACUAGGAGUAGCAAGGAUCAGAAAGGCUCUAAAAGCAGAUGCACAAAAGAGGAAGAAGAAGAAGAAGAAGAGGAGGAGGAGGAAGAAGAGGAGGAAGAUGAUGAUACUUCUGAUAGUGAUAGUGAUGGGUUAACACUAAAGGAGCUGCAGAAUCGACUAAGAAAGAAACGUGUUGAACAGAAACCUGUGCAGCUGACAUUAAAGGAUAUACAGAACCGUCUGAGGAAAAGAAAUGCAGAACAAGAUCCUACAGAAACAGGUGAUGUCCAGCCUGAAAAACAAGGUGAGUCUGAGUUGCCUGUCAAACAAGAGCCUGAGACUGCAGACAACACUGAGAUUGCAAGUCAAGUGAUUGUGUCUGAGGAAGACACUGAAGAUCUUCAGGUUCAGAAGGAGGUAAAGCCUGCCCUUGGCGCAAAAGGGAUCACAGAUGAAGAACCCGAAGAACUGCCCAAAAGCAAACCUGAGUCUGAGAUUUAUGACCCAAAUGCACUGUACUGUAUUUGUCGUCAGCCUCAUAACAACAGGUUUAUGAUUUGUUGUGAUAGAUGUGAGGAAUGGUUUCAUGGUGACUGCGUGGGUAUUUCUGAAGCUCGAGGGCGAUUGUUGGAAAGGAAUGGUGAGGACUAUAUCUGUCCGAACUGCACCAUUCUACAGGGACAGGAUGAGCCUGCUUCAGAAAUAGACCAGCAGGAAGCUAAAGCGGGGCAAGUAAAUGUGGAUGGCACAGAAUUCACAAGCAUAGGAACAAUUGAACAAAAAUCUGUUGAGGACCAAGGAAUCAAGGGUAGGAUUGAAAAAGCUGCAAAUCCAAGUGGGAAGAAAAAACUAAAGAUAUUUCAACCUGUAAUUGAAGCUCCUGGUGCAUCGAAGUGCAUUGGUCCUGGCUGUUUUAAUUUGGCUCAGCCUGAUUCUGUGUAUUGCAGCAAUGACUGCAUUCUCAAACAUGCUGCAGCCACUAUGAAGUUUUUAAGUGCUGGCAAAGAUGCAAAACCAAAACCUAAAGAGAAGAUCAAACCAAAAUCUGAAAAACCUGGGAUGCCAAAAUCUCAACUGCAGGCAGGUAUUAAGCCUCUUUCAAACCAAAAGAGACAAUUUCCUGAGAAAAGAGAGAUGAAUAUGAAGAAGACCGUUUUGACAACUGCCAAGACUGAGGCAAACAUUCAACCUAUUGUUAAAGAGCCAGCAGCAGAAAACAGCACACCGUCCUGGGCAAGCGAUCAUAAUUACAAUGCUGUAAAGCCUGAAAGGACUGCUGCCAUUUCAUCUUCACUGUUGUUCAAAUGUAUGUAUCGCAUAGGGAUAUUCCUGAAUAAUCAUUUACAUUUUCUUUGAAUAUCCAUCCAUUCUUGGCUCUGCAAGACUAGGCAGUUUAGGAUUUGGGGUUUUUUUUCUUAGUAUGGCACCAAACUACUUUUUGCCACCUUCAAAGAUUCGCACACAGAGAUACACGCAAAUGGGAGACACUUUUAGAAGUUUCAUUUGUAUCAUGUGUCAGUUGUAUGAUUAAGAGCCUAUCAAUCUACACAGCUGAUUUCUGGAUGAAAACUACAUGAUUAAGCUUUAAAUUUUUCCCAUAAAGACAGUAACUGUUUCUAAUCUAGAAAAGGUAAGUAUUGAUACAUUUGUGUUAAGUUUUACAAAAAGGUUGCAGACUAUGCACUGUGAAUCAGCAAUUGACUGUACUAAUUUGAAUUGUAUUUUUGUAAUUUAGAUUUGGCACCUGUCUCUCAGGUCUUGCAUUUUCAGUGCUAGUGCCGAGAAUGAAAUCUUCAACGUGGUAUCCAACGAUACUUUACACUUCUGCAAACAGCUUUUAACUGUCAAGUAUAUCCAAGUUCUUCCUGCUGCUUUUCUUCCUUACAUGAAAUAAUUUAAGAACCAUUCUUUACUUUUAAGUUUGGGGGGGGGGGGGGCAGUACUUUUUUUUUUUUUUUUUAAUUUAUUUUUUAUUUUUCCUCUCCCCCUGCCCCCGUCUAUUUGUAUGUUCAUACUUCACACAUUAUCCACACACACAAGAACACAUCUUAAGUGGAUAUUAGGCAGAGAUAUUGCCUUGCGUAUUUUUGCAGGUUUUGAAUAGCAUCCUUGUAACUCAUAUAAAGGUAAGUAAAUACUGCUUUGUAGCCUGAACAAGUCUUUCUGCUAAUGACCAUUUUUUGAUUGACUCCAGCUAAGUAGUUUUAUAAUGCAGCGGUGGAACUUCAGAUGAAAUCUUACAUUUCACAUUUACAAAACACAUGACCUGGUGUCUGAUGUUUACUCACUUGAAGAUUAAUGAAUUCAGAAAUUCAGUUCUCACAGCUUUCUUAACCACGCUUUAGCCAAUUUACAUUUUAUUUUCAGAAAUAAACCUAGUUAUUAAACACAUACAUUCUAUGUAAAGUAACCGUUAAGUUUAUAACUUAUCUUUAAGAUGAGAUUUUUUUAGAUGUAAUUUUUAAACACUGAGGGAACACCAGCUACCCUAAAUUGCUGUUUAUUAUUAUAGCACAUACUAGACUUCCUAGGUAUGUUUUAAUUGUAUUUACCCACAUCAAAUGUUUAAAUGGGUGUAAUUUUUCCCUGCAUAUUUUUGUUGCAUAUUUUGUUACUUGGGCCCUGUGCCUUUUUUAUAGUGCACUCUUAAGAUACAUAUUUUGACAAACUUGCAUUUUUUAAGCUUCUAAGGAAACUGUAGCUUUUUUUGUCAGGAACAGUAGUGUGUUAAACAUAACUAAAACUGAGAAAGAUGUAAAUGAAACUAUAAGGGCUUAUUUUACAUGUCAAAUCUUUAUGACACUUUCUAUCUCAAUAUAAUUGUAAGUGUCCAUAUAACCAUAUCACUUCAAAUGUCCUUAUUGCUAUAGGAUUUUUUUUCUAGGAGACAGGAAUACAGGUUUUGAGGCAACAAAUUUGGUUUUUAAGGGGGUGUUGCUCUUAAGUUUUAUCACACUGGUGGUUAUACAGAUUUAACCAAUUCCAGUAGAAAAUCGGAUUCCUGUAGCUAAAUUUUUAAAUUAGUUCAAAAAUAUGUGUAUAUACCAGACUUUAAUAAUGAACAGAAAACAACCUAGUUCAUGUGAUGAAGAACUCUCAUACCAAAUGCAAGGAAGACCUUCGGAUUGCUAUUAUUAAGGUAAGUUGUACUAAUAUGUGGGGACUCUGUGCCAUUACUAAAUUCCCAGGUAAAAUGUUUGUGUAUUUGUGAAAAAAAAUUGUCCUGCUUUUUGAUGGAUGGGUUUGAUCUGUAAUCUUCCUGAGAAGCUGCCAUUGCAUCAUCUUCUAAGAGUAUUCUACAAGAUUUUAUUUAUGUAACAAAUCUUUAUAUGCUCUUCAAAAACAUAGAAGUUGCAGCAUUACGGAAAUUCGUGAGAGUCAUCUCACUUCACUUAGGGUAUCUAAAAGUUAGAACUCUUUAAGACUGAGCUAGUCUAUCAAGAAAAACACCUUCAGUGGACAAAGCAUACCAUCUGUUUUAGACACUAAUCUCAGAACAAAGUGAUUCGCUGUUUAGAAAUGUGUGUUUCUGAACACAUUUGAUUAUGAAAGACGUUUAAGAUGACUAGUUCAGGCAUCUAGGUGUCUAAUGUUUGGACUUAAGGUCACCUAGAGGAGGCUAAGGACAGGAUUCUUCCAUAUACAGUGUUUCAAAAUACCACCCACAUCCUCCCGGAGCUUCAAGCCCUGUUCUGCAAAUCCUUAUUUGCGACUUCAGUGCACGAGGCCCUUUAGGAAUUAAGGAAACUUAACACGAUUAGCAGAAUUGUUCUCUCUAAUAUUCUUUCCAUCAGUCAGUUUAUCAUAUUUCAGACAUGGAUUUACUUUAUACGUUUACUCUGUACUCGUCAGAUACAAGAUUUUGUUGUUAGAUAUGACAGUAGUUUCACUAGUAGCAAGAAGAAAAUCAAGCCAGUCUUACAGAUGUACUGGGUGAUAGGGGCAUGUAGUAUAUUUGCAUCUAAACCCUGCCACCAAGCCCCCUUUUCUCUUCCCAACCUGUUCUGCAUUUAAAAAAGAAAAGAAAGGACACUUGGUGCUAGUAGUAUGCAGUUAUAUAGAGCAGCAAUUUUUUUUUUUUUCCUCCGUUACUCCAUUAGUUUGUGUUUCUACAUAAUUUUUUUUCUGUAGCUUUUUCCAGGGAUGAGUUAGGGCUGCAUUGGAAGUGACUUUGUACACAAAAAUCUGGAGCCUGAUUAAUGACACUGUCUUACAUCUUGAUGUUCCCAGUGAAAAUAAUCCUUUUUAUUCAUUUAAUAACUACAGUAGGAGAUACCUUGAACUUGCUUUGAUAAGUGAAUACUAAGUACAAGUACUUCUAAAGUUGCAGUCAGUAUUUGAAUUACACAUAGAAGAGGAAAUUAGGUAUGUGUCACAUUCCCUUUCAGAAGUGUUGCUUUUAAUUUCAUUAGGAAAAUUGGUAUUAAUGUAAUAUGCAGUGCUAAACUUUAAUAUUGAAUUUUAAGCCAUCCUAGCUUCCAAAUUGAUACAAGUAUAUGGAUUGUUGAGAUUUAGGAACAUUAUUGUUCAGAGAUUCAAGUUGUGAUAGAAAUCCUGAAUUUGUCAUGUGAGCUAGUGUUAAUUAUCAAUAUUUAGGUCAUAUCUAAGGAGAUGUAAAAUUCAUAACAAAAGCAAAACAGACUGUUGUUUUAUCUAGUAAGAUCACCUAGGUGUUUGUGGGGAAGCACCAGCCAAAAUGAUUUCUGAAAUGUUUUCAGUUUCGUUAGCAGACUAACAUACAUCUUACAGUAAUAGGAAGCAUUAUUUUUAAUUAUACUGGAGGAGGACAAACUUUAAACAGCAUCAUAUAUGCACAUUUUUUUCCUUAAGGAACAACAAAAGCAGUUGGUGUCUACUGCUUUACUCUGCUGAGAGCUUUUACACUUCAAGUUUUACACCAAAUAAUAUCAUGUAUUGCAUUUGUAAUAUUUGUCCAUUAUAUGCACUGCUGCCCUGUAAAAAGGGGGUAAAAGAACACUUCAGACAUGAAGUUUGUUGAUGCAGAGGUUUAUCAGCAGUAUCAAUGUAUAUAUCUGAAGCACCUGAACUCAGGUUUCUGCUUGAUAGAGCAAAACUUGAGAGAGACUUUUUUCUAUAUUUUUGCUGUUAAUUGCCAAGUAAAAGUCAGCAGCAAAUGUAUCAGCAGUUUUAAAAUAGAAAAUGAAUCUGAAAGGGCGGGAAAGAAGAUAGACGUUUGUGGUAUCCCAAUUUUGAAACUGUCCAGUUAUAAGUAUACUUAAGUACUCAUCAGUGCUUCAAAUCUUUGUUGAAGUUCAGCUGACUUACCUUAUUAGACUUAGAAGAAAUACAUGAACCAGUAAUUUACUGAACUCAGGUGUUAAAGCUACUUAAACAUCUUAACUGCAUUUAUUGAUAAAAGUAACUAAGCGCACAGGAGAGUUCUUGUGGUAGAACUUCCUGAGUAAAAAGCACACCAAGCCACUAAACUUCUGUUUACUUAACUGUAGACAGAUAAAUAGUAUGAGCUUAUAGCUAUCUAUUAUAACAUGUUAUAUGGUGCUAGUAUUUCAAAGAAGUUGUUCAUGACUGCCACUUCAAAGGGGAAGUAUUUCAUUAAGAGAAAAGCACAAUGGUUUUGGUACCUCUCCUGCUUUUUACAGCAGUCAAUUACAGAGACACAACUUCACGCUGCCACCUCCUGGAAGUGGGAGGCCAGGUUUGAGGAGCCCUGGCUCUGGUGAUACAAAUUUCCUUUUAUUAUCCCCUUUUAGUUUUCUUUCUUCUGCAGCUAAACUUUUCUACACCCAAGACCUAUUCACAAAGUGAAUAGCUCCUGCUUGUACAGUUAGAGAUCCCAGAUACAAAGGUCGCUUGGACUGCUUUGUUCCUAUACACCUCUAACAAAAUAUGGAGACACUGUAAAGGGAAUACAGUGAUACUGGAAGCCCAUCAUCAGAAAAUGUGAUGCGCAUACCAAAAUGCUAGGAUUAUAGCAUAUAUAAUUUAUGUAUUUUUUUCUUGUGUCAUUUUUUUUUUGUUUCCGUAAUAACAGUACGAAGGCAGGAAAGAAAGAAAAUAUCCCACUAUAAAUAGAGCAGGAGGAAAAUGUAGUACACUCAAGACAGGAGUUACGGCUCAGGAGGUAAUAGUGAUGUAGGAAGCUGUAAGUACCAUUGCGAAAAGGAAAAAGUAAGGCCUUGUUUGCACACUGACUAGUGUCAAUAUAAUGCUUCUCUUUGGGCAAGAUUGUACCAGCUUAAGUUGUGACUAUUCAAUUGAGUGCAGUGUAUGUGGAUAUACUGCUGUUGGUUUAGCUUAACUAUUAAAAAAUAUUUUACUUAAACUGAGGAGCUGUUCUUAAGUCAUAAGUAUGUUUGUCUGCAAGGACUGACUAGUUAAACUUGAUGCCUUUGUUUUGGUGUGAGUGCUUCCCCACAGGAAAAACUAGCCUGUGCCACGUUCCAUACUGUUAUAACUAAACUACUUCUGGCAUCUGAAUUAACUCCUUGAAAGCUAAGGUGUCUUUGCUUAAUGCUGUGUUCUGCAAUGUAGACCCUUAUUAAGAGGCAAUAAGUAUUGAGUAGUACCAGGGGAAUAAAAAAAAUUAUUUUACGUUACUGGCCAUUUUCUGGGACACGUGGCUGCUGUAUAGGUAGGUCUAGCCUUAACUCUUUGUAACUAGGGGAGUUUUCAGAAAGGCUGCUGGCAGACCAAAUAAUGAUCAGAAUACCUAAGAUGAGUCUGCCAGAACUUCUGAGAAAUUCAUGUUGGAGAUCUUCUGGCCUUGGAAAGAUUAUAGUACAGGAGUGGCUGGUGUAACGCAGCUCUGGUGCUGAACUUGCAUCGUGAGAGUGGCAGGGGCUGUGCUGGCACAUGAUCUGAACUCUGGCUGUGGAGUGAGGCAGACCAGUAGUGGCUGCUGAAGCCAACAUUCCCUGGGACCCAGCCAAUUAAAAGGAGCAGUGGGAUCCUUGGGGAGCAAUUAUCAUCUCCUGCCUGUGAACUACUGGAGCUCCCCUUCUCUGCUCUACAAGGUAUGUUAACAUCUGUCCUGUGGCUGUCAGCCACAUGAAGAUUUUUGCCAUGUCUCUUAAGUUAGGAAGGCUGGUCCCUACUCCUGGCAUAUUUCCUAUUUUGCCUUUCAAGCACCAAGCACCUAGCACACCCAAGGCGCUUGGACGACAGAAAGCCAGCACUCUUGCCAUAAUGGGUGCGUGGCUUCAGUAUAAGGAACCAUUGCUGAGGGGAAGGGUUGGGGGGGGGGCAGAAACCUGGUACAACUUACGGAUGCACUAUGAAUAUUAGGGUGGUUUAUCUCUUGUCAUCAACACUGAAAGUGAUGAAAGUUUGAUUAAAAAAACUCACCACCCUCUAUUGCUGUUUUGCUUUCUUUUACUAAUAUUACUUUAGUUCUUUGAACUUGCUUACUUGACUGCAUAGCCAGUGAAAAAGAUCUUCCUCUGCUAGUCCCCAAAUAAAAGGGAUUUUUUGAGGUGAUCACUUGCACUUUGGAGUCAAGUUUUGCUGCCGAUCUUGCUGAUGAUUCAUUGUGUGAUCUGUACUGAACUUGGAGCCUGAAGAUGGCCUGUCCCUGCAAGGACUGAUGAUACCAAUCCAUGAACGGUCUGGAAAAUAAGGAGCCCUUUUUCUUGCCUCUUCCACUCGGGAGUGGUGUAGUUGUGAAGAUGCAGUCGGCAAAUGUAGAUCAGAUAAAUCACUGUAAUUUCAUGUAGAUUAAAACAAACAAAGCUUUGCGUGUCUAAGCUACAGAUUUGCAUGAGCAUAGCUACAGCCUUGGCUUGAAUGCAAACAAAUCACCACCACAAAAAAGGCCCUUGUCUCAGAGUUUCUUAAUUAACUUUAAAGACAGGUUUACUUUCUUUGUGUGCCUGAAUGUAAGGGCUUGGCACACUGGCAGCUUGAUUACCGAGGUUCUCAUUGUGGUGCAGAUUAGAACUGAUAGAGGCUUUUGAAGAAAAACAGCAGGGCAGGGGGCACACCUCUGAAACACUGUAGUGUUUGAUAAUAAAGUCUUGAAAGUGGAAGCAGACACAUUGUUCCAUAGGCAAUUAACAGUGAAAAAACUAACCGUGAAACCUAUUUAAGAAUAGUUCAACACUUUUGAAUUAUUUAGAACUAAUGCUAAACUAUCUUUGAGGGAAAUGACAAAAAGUCUAGCAAAAACAGGUUUCAGGAAAGCAACAGUUGAAUGGUCGUGGAACUGAAGCGGUUACAAACUACACCUCACCUUCACAGCCUUGGGCACUGAAUGUUCAGUGCCACAAGAGGGUGCUUCAGUGGCACCUAACAGGAUUGACUCUUCGACAAGUUUCUGAGGCUCUGAGAUGUCAGGCAUGCAUUCCAGCAGUGUGACUAUGCAAAGGCUGCUCUUGAGGAACGUCUCGUAACUGGUACGCUGGAGCUACUGAUGAAAAGGACCGGCAACAUCGCAGUAUAAAAUACAGUGGCCAGUAUGUAUAGUAGGCAUUGACUGCGUCUUCAAGUUGUUCGUGGACUGCAAAGCCAAGCAAUUUGAAAUUCAUGGUCUGAGAGAAUACCUGUUCCAUCAUACGUCCCAUCAAUUUGCUGAGUGACUGUGGCAUCUGUUUAGAAGUUAAAUUCCACAUGUGUUGGGAUACUGCUCUGAAAAGAGUACAUAUUUCUAUUAAUUCUUCCAAACAUAAUACUUGCCAUAGUUUCUUACCUAUCAGAAGAUAGUGUAAGCUUUGGGGUGUGCCCAUGUUGCAGCUAAGUCAAUAGAAGAGCAAGCUUCCACCAGAAGAGGCAGUCCUGCUCCUUCCUCUUCCUCAGCUGGGUGCUCCUGUGCAUUGGAUCUAAGACCCAUGUAAUGACACAGGGAGUUGGUUCAGCCAAAUUACGUGGCAGCACAUUAAUCUUGUCACUAAAGACCAAAACUUGAUAGGACAAAAAUUCUAGUUUCUCAUAGUCAAAAUAGGAUAAGAGGUUUUUUAGAUUAUGUUCAACUACAGCCAUCAAAAGUUAUUUGCGUAUGGAGGAUUUAAGUAGUCUUGAUUCCUUGUCAAAAUGUGCACGUGAUCUGACUGUCCUUCAAAUAGUGAUGUGUCCUGUAAAUUUGCAAAAGUAGUUGGUAGGUGUUCUGAAGCACUGAAUGACCUACAUGUGACUGAAUUAGUACAUACAAAAUCUGUACCAUCAAUUUCUCCAAUCAACAGGUACUGCUAGGUAGACAGUUUUAAUUGGUAUAAAGUAGUAUCGUAGUUUGAAAUUUUAUGAAGUACUUGCGCAUCUUCUGUUGCUGUGCUAAAGCAGCACAGAAUUACAUGCCUUACUUUGGAAACCUUUCUAAAUAGUCACGAUAUCAGCUUGCAGAAUAAAGGAUGCUUCUGCAUCUUUCUUCUGGGACCCUUUUUGAUUCUGCUGCCCUUCAACCCUGGGAACUUCAAUCUACCUUUGUACUAGUACCAUUUAUUUAUUUAUUUUACAAGUACGUAUUCUUACUAUGAUAUAGCUGUGUAACAUAGCAAGGUUUGUGGUGUGGAUAUAGUUCUCACAUAUAUACAAUAUCUGACACAAAACUUCUUGUGCUAUUUUUAGUUUUAUCAAUGUAGUUCUUGUUAACUAAUUUGAACUAAUGAUUAAAAAGAUAGUGUAUAGAGGAUUAAAUACAAAUUUAGAAUUUCAUAUUUUGUACUUCUGCUGUAAACCUAAAGAACUAAAUGUCUUAGCACUGAGGACUGAAUUUCACUGUCAUCAUUUUGAAACGCAAGCUGUGCUGUCCUGCCUUACCAUGAUGAGUCACAGAAACGUGCUUCUGUCCUACCUGCCUGCAAAGGUACAAUUCUGUGCAGAAGAUGCAAUAAACCAGGAAAAAGAGAA